rfam:Triticum urartu cultivar G1812 contig835604, whole genome shotgun sequence.
GAAGUACUCCCUCCGUUCGGAAUUACUUGUCUGGGAAAUGGAUGUAUCUAGAACUAAAAUAUAUCUAGAUAUAUCUAUUUCUGCAACAAGUAAUUCCGAACGAAGCGAGUACUCA